rnacentral:sRNA from 1 species
AGAGUUGUUGAUACUCAAGUGUGGCACAUGUAUCAAAGAAUGAACUUAGCGAAGCAUAUGGGUAUCGUUCUAACGUUAAACAUAUGUGUCUCAAAGGAUCUAUGAUAGUACAUACAUGUAUAGUACUGACCAAAAUAAUAAUGUGGAAGAGACCGAUUCCAUUAAUACAAACACUGAGAAUUACCCUUUGCAAUUGACAACAGGCAAAUAAAAAAAAUAUCCAAAGUGGUUGAUGAAAAAAAAAGGAAUUCAUUGAAAGAUCUGCUCAUUUUUUUUAGUACACAUUAUAAUGCUUGAAUAAGUUCGUCUGUCUAUCUUAUUGAUGGCCAUUUAACUACGGCUCUUUGAAAUCAACAAGCUUGUGAGCUAAGACCACGUAAUUAGUAGAUAUUUCACUUGAAACCAGUGUCAUUUUUAACGUGUUUAAACGCCUUGGGUGAAUCAAAUGAUCGCUAUUGAUAUACGUGUAGAAAAAUGAAUAUUAAUAUAGUUUUUGGGAGUUGAUUUUAAUCAACUCUCCUAUGCAGUUACUCUGGCAAACUGAAAGUGAAACAGUGUUUGGACCUAAGCACAAAUCAUCACCGCUGACAAGACUUAGUUCUUGAAAAUAAUAGAAAAAUUCGAUGUGAUGUAUGCUGAAGCAUUGUUUUUCAAGAAAAUUUAUCUAUAAACACUUUGAAAAUAGUCAGAUUUUAUAUAAUACGAACAAUGUAGAUAUUUUUGUAGUAUCAUGUAUUCCUACGCCAGAGUUUAAUAUAGUCCCGUUCAAACAAACGCUCGGCUGUCUCCGUAGAUCUCCGACAGAGAGUCUCUCUUGGUAGUCGGAGAUUAACGGAGACAGCUGAGCGUCUGGUUGAACGAGACUAGAGUUCGAUACCAAUAGUGUUUGGAUCCAUACAAUUUUUAGAAUUGCGAUUACUGAUACAUAGUUUGAAAUCUAUCUUAAAGUAUUACACAACAUGAUUCAUAAAGGGUUUCUCAAAAUUCUUGUCGGAAAAGUCUGAAAAUUUAUAUUAUAAAAAUGUGCCUAAUUUAAAUACAGACUAGAAACUGAUUGCAACGCAAGAUAAGUUGAUUUUGAAAGAAAUGAUAAUCGAUAAAAUCAACUCCCGUCAGUACUUCAGUACUUUAAUUCAUAACAGCAUUCACUUUUGCAAAUAUUGAAAUGGUGUUAAAAGCAAAUUUUGCAAUGGGUUCGCAGAAUAACCUAACAUGUGGGUAUUGCCAGGAAAAAAAUUGUGUACACACUUUUAAUAAAAACUUUCAUGCAAAUGC